rnacentral:lncRNA from 1 species
UUGAGUCACUGUAACUGGAGUACACUGAGAUCUUCAGUCUCCUAAGAAGGAGAGAUAUGAGACUUUUCCCUCUGAGUUAGUGCCCUCAGCCUUCCAAACCUGGACUACAAAGUGGUAUGUCUGCGGUCCCCAGCAUCCCAGGAAACCCAUUCAUCACCUUGCAAGGCUUCAAGGUGUUAAAUAACUACAGGCGUGGUGCCAGGAUGGACAGAAGGUUUGUUAACUCAUAAGGACAUCUGGAGCUGCAGACAUGUAACUCAUGCCACAGGUUUAGCAUGGUCCCAGCACAUAAUUUUAUGCUGAUUUGCAAGAGCACAUGGUGGAAUGAGCUGCACAUAACCCUGUAUGUUCCUUGGGUGUCCCUGCACUGGUCUGAUGAAAGAUCAACUGGGCUUUGCUGGGCAUAUACAGAGGACCACAAGUUGUUUUGUCAAAGCAGAUGUUGUCUCCUACACUUGAUCAACCACUUAAUGACUGACUCAGGAAGAGAUUAUCCCUCGAUUGCUGCAUCUUCAGGGACUGACGCCCAUGUGGCCUACAUCUCUGACUGUACCAUGGAGCCUGCUUUUCCAGCAACCAGCCCUGUGAAACUAACGCAGCACAAGAUUAUCGAGCUGAGCAAGUGAGGAAGGAAUCAGAGCACUGGACCCUCCAUUUACCACCACCACAAACGUGAUAAAACUCUUGUCUCUAUAGAAACUGGAGCCACUGUGGCUUCUGACUGCCAUGUCAUUUUCUGAGAGGUAAUCUCAACCCAAAUAAAACCCUUGAUGGCAUGCCUGUGCUUUUCA